GUGCCCGCUUUGGCGCAUAUAUACUAAAAUUGGAAAAGUAACAAAGAAGAUUAACACAGCCCCUGCACAAAGAUGACAGGCAAAUUCAUCAAACAAACAUUCCUUUU
ensembl:snRNA U6 U6 spliceosomal RNA